rnacentral:rRNA from 1 species
AGAAUCAACGCUGGCGGCGUGCCUAACACAUGCAAGUCGAACGCGACUGGGGACUUCGGUUCCCAGUUGAGUGGCGAACGGGUGAGUAACACGUGGGUGAUCUACCUUCGAGUGGAGGAUAACGUUCCGAAAGGAACGCUAAUACCGCAUGACGUUCUGGGUUUGAAGAUCUGGAAACCAAAGCCGGGGACCGCAAGGCCUGGCGCUUGAAGAGGAGCCCGCGUCCGAUUAGCUAGUUGGCGGGGUAACGCCCACCAAGGCGACGAUCGGUA